rnacentral:rRNA from 1 species
AGAGUUUGAUCCUGGCUCAGAUUGAACGCUGGCGGCAUGCUUUACACAUGCAAGUCGAACGGUAACAGGUCUUCGGAUGCUGACGAGUGGCGAACGGGUGAGUAAUACAUCGGAACGUGCCUAGUAGUGGGGGAUAACUACUCGAAAGAGUAGCUAAUACCGCAUGAGAUCUACGGAUGAAAGCAGGGGACCUUUGGGCCUUGUGCUACUAGAGCGGCUGAUGGCAGAUUAGGUAGUUGGUGGGGUAAAGGCUUACCAAGCCUGCGAUCUGUAGCUGGUCUGAGAGGACGACCAGCCACACUGGGACUGAGACACGGCCCAGACUCCUACGGGAGGCAGCAGUGGGGAAUUUUGGACAAUGGGCGAAAGCCUGAUCCAGCAAUGCCGCGUGCAGGAUGAAGGCCCUCGUGUUGUAAACUGCUUUUGUACGGAACGAAAAGCCUGGGGCUAAUAUCCCCGGGUCAUGACGGUACCGUAAGAAUAAGCACCGGCUAACUACGUGCCAGCAGCCGCGGUAAUACGUAGGGUGCAAGCGUUAAUCGGAAUUACUGGGCGUAAAGCGUGCGCAGGCGGUUUUGUAAGACAGUGGUGAAAUCCCCGGGCUCAACCUGGGAACUGCCAUUGUGACUGCAAGGCUAGAGUGCGGCAGAGGGGGAUGGAAUUCCGCGUGUAGCAGUGAAAUGCGUAGAUAUGCGGAGGAACACCGAUGGCGAAAGCAAUCCCCUGGGCCAGCACUGACGCUCAUGCACGAAAGCGUGGGGAGCAAACA